rnacentral:tRNA from 1 species
GGGAGGAUGGCCGGGUUGGUUAUGGCGUGUGACUCAAGAGCUUACUCUCUUAGUUCUUGGCUUCUGAGCACGGAAGCUUGAUUUCUCAUGGGGAAACCCGCGUGGGUUCGAAUCCCACUCCUCUCA